CCCCCGGCUCAUCGAUGGGGCGCCAGCCUACACUGUCCGUAGACUCAUCAGGUCCCGGCGCCGCGGAAGAGGUUUUCAGUAUCUUGUGGACUGGAAGGGCUAUGGCAUCGAGGAACGCUCCUGGGUGGCCGCCCGCAACAUCUUAGACCCGUCCCUUAUCAGGGACUUCCACCGGGCCCAUCCUGACCAACCUGGUGGGACGUCAGGAGCCGUCCCUUGAGGGCGGGGUCCUGUCACGGUCUGUCUGCCACGCCUCUUUCACCCUCGCAGCUGGGCUGCAUCAGCAAUUCGCCUGUCUCCUGUCCCCGGUUUCCCGAUCCUGCCUGUUCCCGACUACGUUCCCCGCCUCGUCCUUCUGGAUCCUCGUUCGCCUGUCUUCCGUCCCGGUUUCCCGAUCCUGCCUGUCCCCGACUACGUUCCCCGCCUCGUCCUUCUGGAUCCUCGUUCGCCUGUCUUCUGUCCCGGCUUCCCGAUCCUGCCUGUCCCCGACUACGUUCCGCAUCUCGUCCCUCUGGAUCCUCAUUCGCCUGUCUCCUGUCGCGGUUUCCCGAUCCUUCCUGUCCCCGACUACGUUCUCCGCCCCGUCCCCGUUGAUUUGCUUGACGAAGUAAAAACGGAAUAUCAUUGUAUUUGCUUGUCUCUGAGUCGUGCUUUUGGGUUCAAAUCUGCCAGUCUCUUCAGUAGAGCGUGAC
ensembl:lncRNA